AUGAUGAUAAUUUUUAUAAAAAACAUACACUGUGUUGUUUAAUUUGUCCUCUAAGAAGAUCUGAAUUU